rnacentral:rRNA from 1 species
ACUCCUACGGGAGGCAGCAGUGGGAAUAUUGGACAAUGGGGCACCCGUGAUCCAGCGAUGCCGCGUGUGUGAAGAAGGCCUGAGGGUUGUAAAGCACUUUUAGUGGGGAGGAAAGUUAACAGGUUAAGAGCUAGUUAAGUUGACGUUACCCACCAUAAACAGCACCGGCUAACUCCGUGCCAGCAGCCGCGGUAAUACGGGGUGGCAGCGUAUUCGAGUAUUGGUUGAAUGGUAGCCGUAGGCGGGCCGGUAAGUCAGGGGUGAAAGUCUGUAGCUCAACUAUAGAACUGCCUUUGAUACUGCCGGUCUUGAGUCACGGUGAAGUUGCCGGAAUAUGUGGUGUAGCGGUGAAAUGCAUAGAUAUCACAUAGAACACCGAUUGCGAAGGCAGGUGACUAACCGUGUACUGACGCUGAUGGACGAAAGCGUGGGGAGCGAACAGGAUUAGAUACCCUGGUAGGUCAGUC